AUUGAACGCUGGCGGCAGGCCUAACACAUGCAAGUCGAGCGGGGCGGCGGACGGGUGAGGCAGUCCAAGGAAUAGGCCUGGUCGUGAGGGAUAACGUCAGGAAACGGGCGCUAAUACCGCAUACUAUCAUAUGCGCCUAGGUCGGAUUAGCUAGGUGGUGGGGUAAAGGCCACCCAAGGCGACGAGCCGUAACUGGUCUGAGAGGAUGAUCAGUCACACUGGAACUGAGACACGGUCCAGACUCCUACGGGAGGCAGCAGUGGGGAAUAUUGGACAAUGGGCGAAAGCCUGAUCCAGCCAUGCCGCGUGUGUGAAGAAGGUCUUCGGAUUGUAAAGCACUUUAAGUUGGGAGGCGUUACCAACAGAAUAAGCACCGGCUAACGUCGUGCCAGCAGCCGCGGUAAUUC
rnacentral:rRNA from 1 species